UGGAAUUCAUCUUCUCGCUCCCGGAAUAUUAUCAGCGACGAAACUCCACUUCUCAAUUUGAUAAGUUUGAAAGGAAUUGAAACGAGCGAUCUUAAAGUUCUGAAAGAAAAGCUUGAACAAGAGGCCGCUAAACUUCUCGGUCAGACAAUAUUCUUCACAUUGGUUAAAAUGGCUAAGGAAAUGCUUUCCGAGAAAGUAUCUAAUGUAGCUGGAGACGAGGGUGCUGAGGAAGAUCAGACCGCAAUAGACAAGAAAAGUGCAGCAACGAGCUCUGAUGAUAGUGAUUCCGAUGAUGAUGACAUCUCUGGAGUUAACAAUUUACUCAGGCUCGACAGGCUCAGGGAACUUGUCCUUGAAGCAUACGCUGAUAUGCCUGUUUGAUCAAGUUGAGACGAAGCAAUGUAAACUUUGUCUAUCUGUAUGCGCAUUGUAUGAAAUCAGAUGAGCCUUAUACCUUCUUGUAUUGUUUGUGUAUUUGACAAGAAUCUCCUUAAAAUGCUGAACAUUGUCAAAUAUUUGCUACCACCAAUAUUUUCAGCAUCAACCAAA